rnacentral:rRNA from 1 species
UACAGAGGGUGCAAGCGUUAUCCGGAAUCACUGGGCGUAAAGGGCGCGUAGGUUGUCUGACAAGUGUGUGGUGAAAGCCCGGGGCUCAACCCCGGGUCGGCCGUGCAAACUGUCAGACUCGAAUACCGUAGGGGCAGAUGGAAUUCCGGGUGUAGCGGUGGAAUGCGUAGAGAUCCGGAGGAACACCAGAGGCGAAGGCGAUCUGCUGGGCGGUUAUUGACACUGAGGCGCGACAGCGUGGGUAGCAAACAGG